rnacentral:rRNA from 1 species
GAUGAACGCUGGCGGCGUGCCUAAUACAUGCAAGUCGAGCGAACAGCCGACGAGCUUGCUCCUCUGACGUUAGCGGCGACCGGGUGAGUCACACGUGGGUAACCUACCUAUCAGACUGGGAUCACUUCGGGAAACCGGAGCUAAUACCGGAUAAAAUAUUGAACCGCAUGGUUCAAUAGUGAAAGACGGUUUUGCUGUCACUUAUAGAUGGAUCCUCGCCGCAUUAGGUAGGUGGUAAGGUAACGGCUUACCAAGGCGACGAGGCGUAGCCGACCUAAGAGAGUGAUGGGCCGCAGGGGAACGGGGACAAGCAGCAGACCCGGGAGGGAGACAGCAGUAGGGAUUCUUCGGCAAGGAGCGGAAGGGUGUCGUAGCAACGGGGCGCAAGUGAGGAAGGGCAUCGGAGCGUAAAGCACUGCGAUUAGGGAGGAACAAACGGCUAUGGAAAUAGGCACUUAUUGACGGUACCUAACCAGAAAGCCACGGCUAACUCCGUG